UAUUUGAAGUGAUGAUUGUACGUUUUUGAAGGAGAUUCGCUCAAUGACUAAACCUUCUUAAAUAAUUUUUCGAUUUGCAUGUCAGUCUGAUCAUAUU
rfam:Kluyveromyces lactis strain NRRL Y-1140 chromosome D complete sequence.